rnacentral:rRNA from 1 species
ACGAAAGUCUGAUGGAGCAAUGCCGCGUGAGUGAAGAAGGGUUUCGGCUCGUAAAACUCUGUUGUUAAAGAAGAACACUCUUGAGAGUAACUGUUCAGGAGUUGACGGUAUUUAACCAGAAAGCCACGGCUAACUACGUGCCAGCAGCCGCGGUAAUACGUAGGUGGCAAGCGUUGUCCGGAUUUAUUGGGCGUAAAGCGAGCGCAGGCGGUUUCUUAAGUCUGAUGUGAAAGCCUUCGGCUUAACCGGAGAAGUGCAUCGGAAACUG